CCGCGCUAACCGGGGAGUCAGCGGUGCCCUGUACCUGCAAUCCGCUAUAGCAGGGGCGAACGUCCGAACUGAGGUAAUCGACUGUGCAGCUGCCGCGUGGUAUGGUGCGUUGAGAGGCAGGCCUUAUGCAAUCAAAAACUGUGAACUAUGUCAGGCGGGGAACCGAGCAGCAUUAAGCAGAUCUUUUGAUGUGCCAUGAGUAUCCCUGCCUUGAGCAUCUACCGAGCGUUCCGUGUAUAGCCUAUUUUCGAAGCGGACUGCGCGG
rnacentral:SRP_RNA from 1 species